CGGACCAGACUCCUACGGGAGGCAGCAGUGAGGAAUAUUGGACAAUGGGCGCAAGCCUGAUCCAGCCAUGCCGCGUGCAGGAUGACGGUCCUAUGGAUUGUAAACUGCUUUUAUACGAGAAGAAACACUACUUCGUGAAGUAGCUUGACGGUAUCGUAAGAAUAAGGAUCGGCUAACUCCGUGCCAGCAGCCGCGGUAAUACGGAGGAUCCAAGCGUUAUCCGGAAUCAUUGGGUUUAAAGGGUCCGUAGGCGGUUUAAUAAGUCAGUGGUGAAAGCCCAUCGCUCAACGGUGGAACGGCCAUUGAUACUGUUAGACUUGAAUUAUUAGGAAGUAACUAGAAUAUGUAGUGUAGCGGUGAAAUGCUUAGAGAUUACA
rnacentral:rRNA from 1 species